rnacentral:rRNA from 2 species
UGAGGAAUUUUGGUCAAUGGACGGAAGUCUGAACCAGCAACGCCGCGUGAAGGAAGAAGGUUUUCGGAUUGUAAACUUCUGUCCUCAGGGAAGAAGGACGUGACGGUACCUGAGGAGGAAGCCCCGGCUAACUACGUGCCAGCAGCCGCGGUAAUACGUAGGGGGCGAGCGUUGUCCGGAAUGACUGGGCGUAAAGGGCGCGUAGACGGCUUUUUAAGUCUGGAGUGAAAGUCCUGCUUUCAAGGUGGGAAUUGCUUUGGAGACUGGAAGGCUUGAGUGCGGAAGAGGUAAGUGGAAUUCCCAGUGUAGCGGUGAAAUGCGUAGAGAUUGGGAGGAACACCAGUGGCGAAGGCGACUUACUGGGCCGUAACUGACGUUGAUGCGCGAAAGCGUGGGGAGCGAACAGG